rnacentral:rRNA from 1 species
AUUGAACGCUGGCGGCAGGCCUAACACAUGCAAGUCGAACGAGUGGCGGACGGGUGAGUAAUGUCUGGGAAACUGCCUGAUGUAGGGGGAUAACUACUGGAAACGGUAGCUAAUACCGCCUACCAUCGGAUGUGCCCAGAGGGGAUUAGCUUGUAGGUGGGGGAAAGGCUCACCGAGGCGACGAUCCCUAGCUGGUCUGAGGGGAUGACGAGCCACACGGGAACUGAGACACGGUCCAGACGCAUACGGGAGGCAGCAGUGGGGAAUAUGGGACAAUGGGCGAAAGCCUGAUCCAGCCAUGCCGCGUGUGUGAAGAAGGUCUGCGGAUUGUAAAGCACUUUAAGUGGGGAGGCGUUACCAACAGAAGAAGCACCGGCUAACUUCGUGCCAGCAGCCGCGGUAAUUC